UACGAAGGGGGCUAGCGUUGUUCGGAAUCACUGGGCGUAAAGGGCGCGUAGGCGGCUUUGUAAGUCGGGGGUGAAAGCCUGUGGCUCAACCACAGAAUUGCCUUCGAUACUGCAUGGCUUGAGACCGGAAGAGGUAAGUGGAACUGCGAGUGUAGAGGUGAAAUUCGUAGAUAUUCGCAAGAACACCAGUGGCGAAGGCGGCUUACUGGUCCGGUACUGACGCUGAGGUGCGAAAGCGUGGGGAGCAAACAGG
rnacentral:rRNA from 1 species